UGUUUGGAUCACACACUGACGUCAUUAUACCUGGCAAGCAGAUUUCAAAAAAAUGUACACAAACUGAACCAUUAACAGCAAUGCGUUACACGAUACAGUACAGUUCACGGAAACGCAACAUUAUAUUUGAGUGUUAAAUUAAACAAUUAAAUGGUAAUCCUAAAUGACACAGCCGCAUCUAGGGGACAAUAACCCGACCCAGUCGAUUAAUUUGAUUUAGGCAGGGACAAACCUCCUUAUUAUCAUUAAUAGCCCUUAAAAUUGGUGCUUUGUACAGGUCUUGAUUUAUGUGCCGGUAAUAACAAACAAACACAUUCGAAGUUUAGCCGGAGGACUUUAGGACCCGGAAGCGCUGCCGCCGAGCCUCCCUUCAUCAUCACCCGUUCAUAACGCUAAUGUUUACAGUCAUGCAUUCGGGGCAUUCUCGGUUUCUUUUAUCUUUAUUGUCUCUUAUUCCUUUAACGAACUGUCAGAAUGGAGAAUCCCGGAUCAGGGAACGCCCGUUUGCGGUUUUGCAGCAUCAGAACCUGGCUCUGCUGAUCGGAGUGUUCAGUGUGCUGUUGGUGGUGAUGGUCGUGAUGGCAGUCUGUGUUUACAGACCUCUACGUCGGCGAUAACCAAGAGAGCAGAGUGGCACAGAAAUGCCACGCCAGCCACAGCACGGAGGGGCGGGAUCCCCUGGUUCCACUCCUGCUGUACCCCCACUAACUCACUCCAGCCUCACCAGGACUGCAAGCUAACCCAAUACUCACAAACGCACUCCAGGGCCAUUCUCUUUCCAUUCCGGGCCAGGCCACACCAGCCCCGCAAACUCACACACCUCACUAACUGCAGAGCCUGCCCACUGUGUGUUAAACAUAUGAGAUUUGUCUGUGUGAUGUCACUGGACUUCCGAAAGGCACUGUUAAAUUUGGGUUUGGAUGUUAACAGCACCUAAUGGUGUCCGAAUGGUUUAACUGUUAGAUGCCUUUGUUUUUUGUAAUUUAAUUUGCCGUUCAUGAGACAAACUGGAAUGCCAAAACUCACAAGAUUUCAAGUAAUAAGGGAACCUUGUGUAAAAUAUUCCUUAUCAAUAUUCCUUAUCCAAAUGUAUCUUCAUAGAGUUUAUUUAUUUCAUUUGUGUUAUGGUAUUUUGUGACAGAUGUACAGUAAUCGUCCACUAUCUCUGUCCAGCUUAAUUGCUGAGGUAAUUGAAACCGCAGCUAAAAAGUUUGUUCAUGUCAGCAGUUAUUCUUUCAGUGUAAUUAACUCCCUGCAUUGUGCAGAGCUGCUGUUUAACUGCAGUGGAACCAGUGACGUGAACACCCAGUAUUAAAUCAUGAUCCGUCAGGAACAGUUUAUGAAAUCGGUACAUCUUUAACUCGGUAAAAAGUUCAUAGGGAUCAUUAUUUAUAUUCUUUUUUUUUUUUUGGAGGGGGGGGGGGGCUUUUAGGAGUUUGAAAAGUCAAACAAUAUGUCAGAUAUGCCCUAGUGGAUUUUCUAAUUGAUGUCUUAAUCAUGUCUUUUAUUGAGAGCACACAUGGAUACGUUCCACUGGGCUGCAGCCAAGAGAAAUAAGCUGGGGAAAUAUCCCUUAGAUGAACUGAUUUCACCGCUGCACUGACCUGCGCUGAGCAGCUGCUGCUACUGCAUGCUGCAGGGAUAUGUCAAAGUGUGCCGAACCAAAUCGCACUGGUUAGUGCAGCAGUGUGGAACUGCUCCAGUUAUUCUGUAGCUAAAGCUUCCAGACAGACAUUAAGAAAGAGAGAAGAUGAUAAUGCAUGGAUCACAAACACACCACCGCCGUGGAGUCAGUCUGAACCCUACAUUGAUGGUUCUUGGCUGAACUACAGCUGUGGACAAGAGCAAUGUCUAUCUUAACAAUAGAUAAUAGUGACCAGGGCCUACAGCAAACCUUAGCUAGCUGCUGAUCUUGAAACUCGUCAGAUGAUGGCACCAAAAUGGGGAAAAAAGAUUGUAGGACCAUCGCGAGUCAUAAAGGGCUGAUGCCAGAAUGUUUUGUUGUAUAAACUCACUGUUGUGGGCACAGUUUGUCUUGAAAGUUUCCCACAUCAAGCAAAUGGCAGCAUGCUCACGCAACAUCUAUUGGCAGAUGUUUGAAACGGUCAAGUGAUUUUGUGGCUUGGGGCUUAGAUCAGUAUGGUUGCUCGGCAGAGCCUACUGGUUGAGUACCUGGUUUGAAGAAAGCCUGCUUGAUCAGGAUCCUCAUGGACCAUGUGUGUUUUUUAUGUUUUAUCCUUUUCAUAAAACUAGACCCUGCUUGGUAGCAUUUCUAUUGACACUAAACUACACAUAAUUUGUAUUUUUUUUAAAAAUUAUUUUUAUGUUGCCAUAUGCACUAGUUGAUAUGGGCAUUAUUGUCCUUAUGAAGAUGCUGUUUUUGGAAAGUGCUGGACAAGAGAGUAUUGCAAUGUCAUUAUUUAUUAGUAGGUACUGUUGGGUAAAGGCUCGCUAUAAAUCUUGAGCCCAUCUUUACCGGGAUACUGUAAAUGCUGCUGUUUGGUUUUGUAUCAUUUGAACUGCACUUUCUUAAAUUUUAAUUGAUAUAUUUUUUUUUUCUAGGUUUAUUUUGUAAAACUUUUAACCUUUUAUUUUUUUAAUUGUGACAAACAUAUUAACCAUCUCGCAUUCCCAAAUGCUUAUAAAUUCCCUUUAUUUAUUUUAACAUUACGUUUUUUUCUUUCUAUUAUGAGCUGUACUGUAAUAAAUACAAAGUAAAAGCUUCAGUUUGAA